GUGAAAGCCCUCUGUGACUACUGGAUCUUCUGCCACCAGAAAUUGCAGGUGUGCGAAUGGUUCCAGUAGUGCUAGGUUGUUGUUGAUAAUAUGCUUGAAGAGCUUGAACUCGGUCACGUGCACGUGCAUUGCUGCCAGGAUAGGGAGGUAUCAUCGAGGAAGCAACUGAGCUCCCAACCCUUGCACCGGAACUAUGGCCAACAAGGAAGGGAUGCAUUAAACUCCCAGAUCUGGGUAGCUCGGCACUGACCCUAGUAGCAGAUCUCU
rnacentral:misc_RNA from 1 species